rnacentral:rRNA from 1 species
GUGGGGAAUUUUGGACAAUGGGCGCAAGCCUGAUCCAGCAAUGCCGCGUGCAGGAAGAAGGCCUUCGGGUUGUAAACUGCUUUUGUACGGAACGAAACGGUCCUGGUUAAUACCUGGGGCUAAUGACGGUACCGUAAGAAUAAGCACCGGCUAACUACGUGCCAGCAGCCGCGGUAAUACGUAGGGUGCGAGCGUUAAUCGGAAUUACUGGGCGUAAAGCGUGCGCAGGCGGUGCUGUAAGACAGGCGUGAAAUCCCCGGGGUCAACCUGGGAAUUGCGCUUGUGACUGCAGUGCUGGAGUACGGCAGAGGGGGAUGGAAUUCCGCGUGUAGCAGUGAAAUGCGUAGAUAUGCGGAGGAACACCGAUGGCGAAGGCAGUCCCCUGGGCCUGUACUGACGCUCAUGCACGAAAGCGUGGGGAGCAAACAGGAUUAGAUACCCUGGUAGUCC